rnacentral:rRNA from 1 species
UACGGAGGGAGCUAGCGUUGUUCGGAAUUACUGGGCGUAAAGCGCACGUAGGCGGCUUUGUAAGUUAGAGGUGAAAGCCCGGGGCUCAACCCCGGAAUUGCCUUUAAGACUGCAUCGCUUGAAUCCGGGAGAGGUGAGUGGAAUUCCGAGUGUAGAGGUGAAAUGCGCAGAUAUCAGGAGGAACACCGAUUGCGAAGGCAGCUCGCUGGAACGUUACUGACGCUGAGACGCGAAAGCGUUGGAGAGCAAACAGG